GGCACAGUGGCAGAAUGGAUAUGCACAAAAUUUGCAAUUUUUGAUUCCACUGUUCACAGCAGUGGUUAUGCGGUUUCGAAUCCCGCCUGUGCCUCCA
rnacentral:tRNA from 1 species